AAUUAGCCUAAAUCUCUCAAACACAUCAUUCUUCUCAUUCACGCUUUCAUUCAAGCUUACAAAACCCUAAUUUUGUUCAUCGCCGACAAGCAAAUCUACCAACAUCUCUUUCGAUUUCAUUAGCAUCUGAUUUUAGGUUUAAUGGCUGAAAAUGCCGAGAGAAACAGAUUCCGGCGAAAGCUAGGGUUCCGGCGAAGUUAGUAGUGAUCUGGAGUCGUCGUCACUGAUUUUGCUUAAGGAAACGGCAUGCUCUUCUUUGUUUGUUUGGUUUUUUUAAUUUUAUUUGUUAUUUGUUACAUAUAGUCAAGAUUUUUUUUAGGUUUUGUUGAUGAAAAUGCAAAUAGAAACAAAUUCCGCCGAAAGCUAGGGUUCCGGCGAAGUUAGUAGUGAUCUGGAGUCGUCGUCCCAAUUUCGCUUAAGGAAACGACUUCGUUCUUCUACAAGGAUUGGAUUAUAAGCUACGACAAAAGCAACCACCAUUCAGUACGCAGAUCACUGAGCAGGCCUAGGUAUUGGUGACAAAGGAUGAUGAACUGAAUCCAUGUCAAGGAAAAAUUCGUCUGCCUCUAAAUGGUUACAAGAAAAAGACUACUGAUUGGCUGGAUCAACAUACCUCUGACACUAACCUACCAAGGAAAUAGAAGAUGAUUAUCGCAACCUCAUCUUUACUCUGAUUAGGUGUAAGCUCUGCAAUAAACGAUUGCAAGAAGGAUACUCAAUCAGUUGUUGGCAUGAAGAGGAUGCAACCCUUUUUGUUGGAAAGCAGAUCGAUUCUAAGUAUUUAGCUGCAAAUUUUUCUUGUAUAUGUGUCUCGAAAUCAGAUGAAUAUGCUUCUUGUACCGAUGGAUGUACUACUAGCAUAGAACCCACACAUCUUUUUUUUUUUUUUAAAGAAAAAAAAAGGAACCCACACAUCUUUUAGGUGACAAAACAUCAAGUUUGGCUCGUGUUAGGUAUAUGCAUUGGUUUUAAAGAAAUGGAGGUAUGAAAUUAAUAUUUUAAGGGUUUCUUAUCUAUGUUUUCAAACUAACAUAUUUUUUUGUAUUUUCUCUUUAUGGGGUAAAUAAAAUAAACCAGUUACUUAAUAACAGUCGAUUUCUUUGAAUAAAAUAGGAGAAUAUAUGCAAAUUUUUUUAACUUAUAUAAGGAUGUAUCAAAAAUCAACCUGAAAAUCAUUGAUGCCGAAAUCAGUCACUGACUCAAAAACAAAGUUGCAGGGCUGGAUACAACCUUUUUAGUGAAAAUACGUAGGCUACUAUCACAUAUAAACCUUUGUUUUUUAGACUAACAAAAUUUAUGUGUGUAGAAUGGGCCCAAGUACUUUGACAAGGUGAACGUGGUAAGUGUUGGUUCUCCUAAAAUCCGAACUUCAUAUGUCCAAAUUGUGCACACUUAAUUUAUGAAGGAAAUCCAAGUGGACAUUUUGAUUUUGCUUAGCAAAAUAUAAGAUUCACAAUAGAUGGCUAGCAUAUAAUCACUGCAGAUCCUCAUUACGAUAUUGGGGCAUCAGGUAUAUGAAUAUUCCAUGAAGUAAAAUUUAGUAGACCACUUUUUUAGUAAUGACUUGUGGAGGACAAUGAGUAGUUAUUGCAAAAGUCGUUUUUAGGUAGCUCGGUUGUAAAAAGCAUUCAAAAGAUGUCAAUAAACUAUGAUGGGGCUUUGAUUGCUGUUGAUUUGGAUAGUUUAUAAAUUUUAAGAUGACUAAGGUUUUUAUCUAAAGAUGAUUAAUUUUUUUAGUUGAUUAUAUUGUAGUCUUGAACAAAGGAUGGGGCUUUGAUUGCUGUUGCAACCAGUGCUACAGUGGAUAAAUAUUGGAAAAUUGGGGUUUUGAAAGACUAGAUAGUUGCAACUCAGGGUAUUUGGAUAGAAGACGGUCGUCAACGGGUUCAUUUGCAUGAAAUUUGUCUGUUGGAGUUUCGGUUACAGAAUGAAGGGAAUACUCCUUGAAACAUACUAAAGGAGAUUGUAUGGAACAAAGAUACAGAGGUUACACAGAAAUAUGUAGUGUUGGCAAAAGGAAUGUCAGCAACUGAUGGGAGUAUGGUCUAUUCAGGUGGUCGAACCAGGUACAAAGCUUUCUGCAUCAAGUACAUCUAUCUGUUGGUACAAAGUGAUAGCGUGACCUAAUGAAAGAACAUGAACAUUUUCAGUGUUAAAUUAAGGUUCAUACACAGUUUGUUUGGCAUCAUGGUGGCAAUCAGGUGUUCAUGUGUAGUGAUUUCACUGGGUGGAUUAAGUAUCGACAAACGGUUCUUGUUGAAGAAUCGGAUAUCACUUUUACGAUGAUUUGUGAUCUUCUGAUUUGUUUGCAUAAGAUAAGCUAGAACAUGCUGCGGGUAUAUGGAGGAUACGAUGGACCUCAUCCUGGUGUCAUGUCUUACAACAAAAGCUAUUUGGUGGAUGAUCGGGGUGUGGCUGAACAUGAAUAACCUACAAAACUGAUCAUCGGUUAAAGAAAUUUUGCUACAAGUCAGGAAUAUGCAGCUGAAAAAAAUAGAGGAAAGCGAUGGGCACUGUCAUGGCUACACUAUAAAAAUUUGGUUAAAUAAAAACGGGUAGAUCUUCAAGGGGGCUCACUCUCUUAUGCGAAAAGUGGUCUAAGACAUCAAGGAGAGUACUUUCUUAUGCUUAAAGCAUACAACAAAAAUGGAAAGCAUUAAUAUAGAAUAUUGGUGUAAUAUGGGUGUGAAUGUAUUAGGUGAUUUGAACAAGUUCUAUGAUGUAUGUACCGGCCUUCUAGCUAUUGGCUAAUGAUUUUUUGAGUA